UACAGAGGGGGCAAGCGUUAUUCGGAAUUAUUGGGCGUAAAGGGCGCGUAGGCGGCCUUUCAAGUGACGGGUGAAAGCCCUCGGCUUAACCGAGGAACUGCCUGUCAGACUGGAAGGCUUGAGACCGGGAGAGGUGAGUGGAAUUCCCAGUGUAGCGGUGAAAUGCGUAGAUAUUGGGAAGAACACCGGUGGCGAAAGCGCGCGACUGGACCUGAACUGACGCUCAUGCACGAAAGCGUGGGGAGCAAACAGG
rnacentral:rRNA from 1 species